GCGGGCGUCGUAUAACGGCUAUUACCCGAGGUUUCCAACCUCGUGACGCGGGUUCGACUCCCGCCGCCCGCU
rnacentral:tRNA from 1 species